AGCCCAGAGAAAUUGGAUUAAUACCUCAUAGUAUAAUUGAAUGGCAUCAUUUAAUUAUUAAAGUCACAACGGUAAAAGAUGAGCAUGCGUCCCAUUAGCUAGUUGGUAAGGUAACGGCUUACCAAGGCAACGAUGGGUAGGGGUCCUGAGAGGGAGAUCCCCCACACUGGUACUGAGACACGGACCAGACUCCUACGGGAGGCAGCAGUGAGGAAUAUUGGACAAUGGGCGCAAGCCUGAUCCAGCCAUGCCGCGUGCAGGAUGACGGUCCUAUGGAUUGUAAACUGCUUUUGUACGAGAAGAAACACUGAUUCGUGAAUCAGCUUGACGGUAUCGUAAGAAUAAGGAUCGGCUAACUCCGUGCCAGCAGCCGCGGUAAUACGGAGGAUCCAAGCGUUAUCCGGAAUCAUUGGGUUUAAAGGGUCCGUAGGCGGUUUAGUAAGUCAGUGGUGAAAGCCCAUCGCUCAACGGUGGAACGGCCAUUGAUACUGCUGAACUUGAAUUAUUAGGAAGUAACUAGAAUAUGUAGUGUAGCGGUGAAAUGCUUAGAGAUUACAUGGAAUACCAAUUGCGAAGGCAGGUUACUACUAAUUGAUUGACGCUGAUGGACGAAAGCG
rnacentral:rRNA from 1 species